CCCGUGUCAGCAAGUCCCAGACGCAAGUCUGCGGUACUACAACACAUGACCUCAUUGGGGUAGGACAACCCGCUAGACUUAAGCAUAUC
rnacentral:rRNA from 1 species